UAUAUUCUGCCACGGAAGAGGAUGAAGCUUCGACUAAGGUUCGACUCGAGCGAAGCGAGAGUGCCGCAGGCAACGGCGAAGCGGCGCUAGCGCCGAGUAAUCCUUCCCCACCACUG
rnacentral:sRNA from 1 species